CCAUCAUCAUACUAUGUGCCCGACCCACCAGUGCCACCAGCGCAGGCGUCCUACUAUACUCCGGACCCAGUAGUGCCUCAAGCAGAACACCACAUUGUUGCACUACAACCGCUUUUGCAAGAGGGCCGAGCAUGCCAAUUAGCAAUUGGUUCGGUUUCAAACAUUGUUGCAUCAGGUACACUCAUUGAAAGAGAGGCAGGCAACAACUUCCAAGUUAUGAUUACGAGUGUUCUUAAGCCAACAUGUCCUCUCCCUUUUGCAUAUCCUGAUUUGGACAUGUACAUAGUUGCUCAGGCCAUUGGGACGCCAAUAGCGUGGCCUAAGGAUUUUGUCAUUAUAUCUGAAGAUGUAACUCAUGAGACUCCCUCUACAAGUAGGACCAGAUCACAACGACCAAGAGCUCCAUCAACACAACAACCUCGAGAAAGAAGACGACAACAA